rnacentral:lncRNA from 1 species
AGGGCAUCUCUGUAAGCUGCGUCUCCGGGACCCUUUGAUUUGGUUAAUUAGACACAAAGUUGUUCUGUGCUGUGGGAGGAAGGUAUGCGCCGAGGAGCCCGGCUACCGCCGCUGUGCUAAUGAGAGCCUGCCUCACUUAAAUCCUCACACUGUCACCGCCGAAAUGUUGCUGCAGAGACCUCGGAAUUCCCCGAGCAUUUGAUUUCAAGGGGUUAUUUCACAGACCUGGCUGGCCCUAAUUUUGCUUGUGCUGAGUGGUUGAGUUCAGUCUUCCAAGUCCAUACAGAGCAUCACUCUUUCAUCCUGUGAAGUUUUGUGCAAACAGAACUUGCAACCAACCAAACCAAACCAAGCAAGCUGCCGCCAUUAAAAGUAAUUCACAGAUUCCUCGUGAGCAAAUGGGCACAUUUCUGCAGUACUCACUGCUGGCUCCUCCAAGGGACCACAAAGCAGUGCUGUCGGAGGUGACGCUCGGCGGCACACAGUGCAGCUCUAUAGCUGAUGUUUUCUCAUCAG